GACGAACGCUGGCGGCGUGCUUAACACAUGCAAGUCGAACGGAAAGGCCCUCCUGUGGGGUACUGGUGGGGUGACCAGGUGGGUAAUACCACAGUAAUAUCCCCCCCUUUUUGGGAUAAUUUCUGGAAACAGGGGCUACUAAUACCUAGGAGCAGCUCCUGCUUGGUGGUGGUUGGUGGGUAUUUUCGGCGGUUGGGGAUGGACUCGCGGCUUAUCAGCUUGUUGGUGGGGUAGUGGCUUACCAAGGCUUUGACGGGUAGCCGGCCUGAGAGGGUGACCGGCCACAUUGGGACUGAGAUACGGCCCAGACUCCUACGGGAGGCAGCAGUGGGGAAUAUUGCACAAUGGGCGGAAGCCUGAUGCAGCAACGCCGCGUGCGGGAUGACGGCCUUCGGGUUGUAAACCGCUUUCGCCUGUGACGAAGCGUGAGUGACGGUAAUGGGUAAAGAAGCACCGGCUAACUACGUG
rnacentral:rRNA from 1 species